CCUACGGGGAGCAGCAGUGGGGAAUAUUGGACAAUGGGCGAAAGCCUGAUCCAGCCAUGCCGCGUGUGUGAAGAAGGCCUUCGGGUUGUAAAGCACUUUCAGUGGGGAAGAAAGUCUUGGGGCUAAUACCCUCGAGGAAGGACAUCACCCACAGAAGAAGCACCGGCUAACUCCGUGCCAGCAGCCGCGGUAAUACGGAGGGUGCGAGCGUUAAUCGGAAUUACUGGGCGUAAAGCGCGCGUAGGCGGUCUGAUAAGCCGGUUGUGAAAGCCCCGGGCUCAACCUGGGAACGGCAUCCGGAACUGUCAGGCUAGAGUGCAGGAGAGGAAGGUAGAAUUCCCGGUGUAGCGGUGAAAUGCGUAGAGAUCGGGAGGAAUACCAGUGGCGAAGGCGGCCUUCUGGACUGACACUGACGCUGAGGUGCGAAAGCGUGGGUAGCAAACAGGAUUAGAUACCCGAGUAGUC
rnacentral:rRNA from 1 species